rnacentral:rRNA from 1 species
UACGGAGGGGGCUAGCGUUAUUCGGAAUCACUGGGCUUAAAGGGUGCGUAGGCGGGUUGCCAAGUCUGUGGUGAAAUCCUCCAGCUUAACUGGAGAACGGCCGUGGAUACUGGCGACCUCGAGUAGGGUAGGGGCUUGCGGAACUGUGCGUGGAGCGGUGAGAUGCGUUGAUAUGCACAGGAACUCCGGUGGCGAAGGCGGCGAGCUGGACCCUAACUGACGCUGAGGCACGAAAGCCAGGGGAGCGAACGGG